rnacentral:lncRNA from 1 species
CAAAACAAACAUAAUGAGGAGAAGGCAAGAAUAGAGAACGUACCGAGCGUAAACUGGGAAAAUGGAGAUGAAGACCACGAUGUAGUCACCGUCACGGCAUGAGUAUUGCUAGCAAAAACCCUAGAACCUCACUCACAGACGAAGAUACGCAGAAGGCUGAAGAGAAAGCACUAACAGCAGAAAAUGCAGAAGAAAAAAUGCAAGAGUGAGGGACUCGGUCUGCUAUUUAAAGAGAGACAGCCCCUCGAUAUCCC